AGCUGUGAGGAGGCACCGACCGGAGCUCAACUUGUCACACACAGCGUCGACAUUUGCUGAGUUGUCAGUGCGAUGUAAAAAACAGGACUGAAUCUCUCUAUGGUUCCGCAGCAAGUGCUUUCAGACAGCUGGGUGCCUGAGGCCCACACACUCUAUAACAGGCUGACAGGAAGUCCCUCCCAGCAUGCAGUCUGCUUCAGUGACAGAUCCCAGCACCUGGCAGGCCCACCCUCUAUGCCUCCAUCACCACCACUUCCUCCAGCUGACGUCAGCAACUUCCUCCUU